ACUGUUUGAUUCCUUUCGGGUGAUUUAUUUCAACGUUCCGAUACUUACCAAUGAAGCUUAUUAAUUUAUUCUGCAAUCUAGGGGGGUUAUCUGAUCAAUUUCGUUCAAUAAACAGUACAGUUAUAACAACCUUAGUGUUUUAGUUAAAAUCGCAUAUUUAUUUAAUCUAAUAGAAGGAAAAAUUACAGCCUUCGUAUAUGUUAUACCUACGUGUAUUGCGGCCAUAUUUGUAUUUUACAUUAGACAGUCAAUACGUAUGUAUGUGUCCGUCCUCUAAGUGACUCAACUCAAGGCUCUCUUAUCAUUGCUAAUAGAUACGAAACAAAUAGGAAACUCAAUUCCAUAAGUAACAGCUCACAGAAACGGCUGAGAGCUAAGAAUAACUUCUUUGAGAGUUGUAGGGUAAAUAGCUCAUUACAAUUCAAUCCACGUACAAUUGAUCGCAUACUUAAACUUUAUAAAAAUAUCAUGCUGCUUCUUUGAAACAACUUUUCCAUUUUUAAAUGUCAAAUCAUCCACUUCAUUGACAUUCUUAGUUGUAGAAAGAUUUCUAAGUUAUUGAUUAAUUCAGUUUUUAUUGUAUUUGAUAUCUUCUUAAUCAAGUCGGCUCGGGUAGUUCUCCCUCUAUCUCUAUCCUUCUCUCAUCUUAACAUAUAAGUAUAUAUAAGUUUUAUCUCCUUGAGAAGAUGUUUAUAGCUUCAUCUUUGCAAGUGUGCAAUUUUAUCACGCCUCAAUUUUCAACUUGACAAGACCAUAUUUAAAAGAGUUCCCAAAGACUAAAAGCUCCCUAAAACCGAGGAAUUCUGAGAUGGCAUCCCAAAUUUCUAAGCCAAGGGCAUCAACAAAGCGACUAAGGGUCCACUCUGUAUCCUGUUGUAUCGAGCAGUGGCAAAAAAUGUCGAGCGCUCAGUUCAAGGUGAUCGGGUGAUCCCAGCCGACGCUUUCGUGUACCGCUUCUAUAAUCGCUAGUUGAUGUAGAGAUUAUGCCAAAUAUUGAGCUUCGCUUUAUCAUUAUCAGUCCAGCGCGUUUUAGUCAGACUUAGAAACUAACUUCACGAAGUCUAACAAAGAAAAAGAACUGAUCGCCUGCGAUAUUAGGUUCCACGUUGAAGCGAGCAAAAAUAUAUAAAGACGCUCUUAUGGCCCUGAAAAUAAGGUGGUAUGUGUACUUCAUUAUGUGAGAACAAUAUUUCGAAUGGGUGCCUACAAAGCCGCUUCAUACCAUUUUGAAGACACCGACUGAAAACAUACUAUUGACUGCAAGAGUUACUUCUUUUGAAGAUCCUAUGACGGAUCAAAAAAUGUCUAACGACAAUCGAGUUGAGUGGCAUGUUUUAAAUAUUAUGGUUUUCUCUGUUUUAAAAAGCAAUUAGGUACGUUGAUUACUGUAGAUCUGAUAUGGUUGAACAGAAUUUAAAUGUUACCACUUUUCAAACCCAUAGUGAAGGGCAUUAUAAUGAGAAUAAUAAUAAUUUACAGAAGACAAA